UACGUAGGUGGCAAGCGUUGUCCGGAAUUAUUGGGCGUAAAGCGCGCGAAGGCGGGUCCUUAAGUCUGAUGUGAAAGCCCCCGGCCCAACCGGGGAGGGUCAUUGGAAACUGGGGAACUUGAGUACUGAAGAGGAAAGCGGAAUUCCACGUGUAGCGGUGAAAUGCGUAGAGAUGUGGAGGAACACCAGUGGCGAAGGCGGCUUUCUGGUCAGUAACUGACGCUGAGGCGCGAAAGCGUGGGGAGCAAACAGG
rnacentral:rRNA from 1 species